rnacentral:rRNA from 1 species
GCAAGUCGAACGGUAAAAGGCAAAGCUUGCUUUGCGCUGACGAGUGGCGGACGGGUGAGUAACGCGUAGAUAUCUGCCUAGUAGUGGGGGAUAGCCCGGAGAAAUCCGGAUUAAUACCGCAUACGCCCUACGGGGGAAAGAAGGCCUCUUCUUGAAAGCUUUCACUAUUAGAUGAGUCUGCGUCGGAUUAGCUUGUUGGUGAGGUAAUGGCUCACCAAGGCGACGAUCCGUAGCUGGUCUGAGAGGACGAUC